rnacentral:rRNA from 1 species
CGAACGCUGGCGGCGUGCUUAACACAUGCAAGUCGAACGGAAAGGCCCUGCUUUUGUGGGGUGCUCGAGUGGCGAACGGGUGAGUAACACGUGAGUAACCUGCCCUUGACUUUGGGAUAACUUCAGGAAACUGGGGCUAAUACCGGAUAGGAGCUCCUGCUGCAUGGUGGGGGUUGGAAAGUUUCGGCGGUUGGGGAUGGACUCGCGGCUUAUCAGCUUGUUGGUGGGGUAGUGGCUUACCAAGGCUUUGACGGGUAGCCGGCCUGAGAGGGUGACCGGCCACAUUGGGACUGAGAUACGGCCCAGACUCCUACGGGAGGCAGCAGUGGGGAAUAUUGCACAAUGGGCGGAAGCCUGAUGCAGCAACGCCGCGUGCGGGAUGACGGCCUUCGGGUUGUAAACCGCUUUCGCCUGUGACGAAGCGUGAGUGACGGUAAUGGGUAAAGAAGCGCCGGCUAACUACGUG